rnacentral:sRNA from 1 species
AUAGGUCGACCUUUGAUUGAUCAAAGGAGUGUGUCAUAGAGAGUUGUUCAUCUCCUAUUUCACCAAGGAGUGUGUUCAGCGGAGGGUGAACGGAGAAGAGACACAGAGGUCCAUAAGCAGGAGGUGGACGACCUAGGAAGCUAGGUUUUUAUCAGGACUCUGAUAGGAGUUAGUAGGAUUAGAGAAACUAUAAAAGGGGUUGCAGAGAAGUGGGAAAGCAUCAGAAAUCGAAAAGGGGUAGAGAAAUUGAGAGUUAGAAAACGUGAUUGUGAAGGAAGGAUUCAGAGAUUUGAAGGGGUUUGGUUCAAAAAGUCAAUUUCUUGUUAAUGUUGAGUCAUGUUCUUCAGAGAAGCAAAAUUAAUCGAAUUCAAGGUACAGAACCAGAAACCUAAAAGUCUACUUGCUGUCUGUUGUGUAAUUAUGUAGAAGAAAUAAAAAGAUGAGCUUGUUGGCUUUUGCUCUCUUGUUUGAAUAAGGAACUACUUUUGUGUGAACUUUCAGUAGUUCAUAAGUUGUAAUUUUGGCUGAAACUUUCAAUAAUGAAUCUGUUAUUCAGUUAAUU